GAUGAACGCUGGCGGCGUGCCUAAUACAUGCAAGUCGAGCGAACAGACGAGGAGCUUGCUCCCCUGACGUUAGCGGCGGACGGGUGAGUAACACGUGGAUAACCUACCUAUAAGACUGGGAUAACUUCGGGAAACCGGAGCUAAUACCGGAUAAUAUAUUGAACCGCAUGGUUCAAUAGUGAAAGACGGUUUUGCUGUCACUUAUAGCUGGAUCCGCGCCGCAUUAGUUAGUUGGUCAGGUAACGGCUUACCAAGGCUAGGAUGCGUAGCCGACCUGAAAGAGUGAGAGGCCACACGAUAAGAGAGACUGACUCGUAACGCCUGGGAGACGGCGCAGUAAGGGAUCUUACGCAAAAGUGGAGAACCUAACGCAGGAAAACGGCGUAAGUGAUGAUGAUGCUCGGAUCGUAAAGCUCUGUUAUUAGAGGAGAACUAAUGUGUAAUUAACUGAGCAGAUCUUGACGGUACCUAAACAUGAAGCCACGGCUAACUACGUG
rnacentral:rRNA from 1 species